ACGGAGCGGGCGGGGCUCGGGGUCUUCCGGAGCCUCCGGUCGCGGGUCUAAGAGGACUAGGGCGGGAGCGGCGCGAAAGAAAGAGAGGACUGCGUUUUGGGGCGUUCUGUCAGAGGGGAAAGACGUGUGGAUUGGAGUCAGACUGCACUCCCGCCCUAUUUCUGCAAGUAGAACUCACUGCCUUUAGAAACGGUCUUCUGAGGCUCUGUUGGGAGGCUCUAACAGUAUUACGGAGGACACAUUUUUGUUUGUUUUUAUGUGAAACGUUCAGAAGUUGCUUGCAUCAAGUGCUUUACAAGUACACUGGUUUUCAAACUUUUUAAGUUGAGGAACUGUUGAUUUUUGUAAAAAUAGAACUUUACUUGGAAGCCCAAGGUCGCUUAGAAACUAGUAGUCUCAGAACAUGGAGUGGAAGAGGUGAUCAUGGUAGCAACAGACUGAGGAGUGAAUUUGCACAUGAGUUUUGUCUUGCUGUUUUUCAUUGACGGAACCCAAUUGGAAAUCAGAAUACAAGGGCACUCGAUUAUUUCAGUUCACAGAGGACUUCUUCCUGUGGCACGGAACAUGGUGGGGAAAGGUACAAAGUAGACCUCGAGAAACAAACAGCAUGGUGACCAGUCACAAAAUGUAUACAGAAAAUUAACAGAUUUUUUUUCCUUGAAGAGAUCAAAUCUAAAAAACAGUAUAAAAAUAAGAAUGUGCAGGAUCUAUAUAAAGAAAUCUAUACUCUACCAAGGUACCUGAAAAAAUACACAGAUAAAUGAAGGCUUAUGGCUUGAUUUUAGGUAUAAAAAGUUAAUGUUUGAAGACAUCCAUUUAUCCACCUGGAUCAACAUGGUCAUUAUUUUUUAAAUCAAAGUCCCAAGAGCUCCAUUUCACAACCUGAAACUAUUUAAAAUCAUGUUAGAAAAUUAAAUAGUAAGAAAAUACUAGAAAAAAUCAGAAGAAUGAGUAGAAUCAUAGAGCUACAAUAAUUAAAAUAGGAUGGUUUGGGGGGAAAGAUCAGUAAGUUAGAUUAAUGAAAUUGCAUAGAAAAGCAAGAAAUUGAUUAUUAUAUUUCUAUGGGCACGUGAAAACUGUGGCAUUUCUAAUCACAGGGGAACUUAUAGAUUAUAAGAUAAAAGACAUUAGGCCUAUUGGAUAACUAGUUUAGAGAAAAGAAAAUUCAGUUAAGAUCUGACCUCAAGAAAAAAAUGUAAAUAGAUUAAAUGUGUAUAUGUAAAAUCAAAAAAAUCAUGAAUAUAUAAAUAAAAUUCGAUAAGUGUUUCUAUAUUUCAGAUGUGGGUCUACACGGUAAUUUUAUAAUAAAUCAAUUAAAAGAUAUACUAAAAUCAUUUUAACUGGGUGAAAACCAUUUUCACUCACUUAAUUUUUUAAAAUGGUGAAAUCCACUCAUAAACAGUAGCCAGAAAUCAAAGUCAGAAGGCUAGUAUGUAUUUAAAAAGCUAAAGGGUUAGCUUUAUGAGUGUCCAACCUAUGGAGUCACACAGGACCAUAGUUAAUAAUGGCCCCAUACUUGGUUUGAUAUUCUGCUGUCACAGUCUUGAAAUCCUUAACAAUUUUUGAACAAAGAGCCCUGGAUUUUCGUUUUGCACUCAGUCCUGCAAAUUAGGUAGUGAUCCUAGUUAACCUUCCCAUAUACUGAGUGAAAUACAAAUUAAAACCUGAAUUUAAAAAUUGUUUUUAGGUUGAAAACAGUAAAAUAAAAACACUUAUUUUUUUUACUUGACAACAUCAAGAAUGCAGAAAAAGAAACACUCAUAUACCUUUAGUUCAACCAUUUGCAAAUACUCAAGAAUCAUAUAUCAAAAUUUAAAGUGAAUACUUUUUUUUUUUUUUCUUUUUUUUUUUUUUUGAGACGGAGUCUCGCUCUGUCGCCCAGGCUGGAGUGCAGUGGCGCGAUCUCGGCUCACUGCAAGCUCCGCCUCCCGGGUUCACGCCAUUCUCCUGCCUCAGCCUCCCGAGUAGCUGGGACUACAGGCGCCCGCUACCACGCCCGGCUAAUUUUUUGUAUUUUUAGUAGAGACGGGGUUUCACCGUGUUAGCCAGGAUGGUCUCGAUCUCCUGACCUCGUGAUCCGCCCGCCUCGGCCUCCCAAAGUGCUGGGAUUACAGGCGUGAGCCACCGCGCCCGGCCUAAAGUGAAUACUUUUUAUUGAGCAUUUUUUUCUACAGGAAUACAUCUACAGGAACUAAUUGAACCCAUACAUAAAAAUCAGGAUAUUUAUCACAGUAUUGCUAAUAAUAACAAAAAUAUGUGAACCAAUCUAAAUGUUCAUAAAAAUUGGUUAUAUAUUGAAGGAUACAUUUCUGUAGUUUCAUUUAUGCUUCAACCUUAAAUGUGAUAUAAAUAUACGUAUAAACACACACAUUUGAAAUGUAAAGAUGUACAGUAGAGUGAUAUGGAAAGAUACUCAUGAUUCAUUGUUACGUGGAAAGCCAACUAUGUAACAGCAAAGAUAGUGAAAUGCUACAGGUAGCUAUACAGAACUUUUUAUAUAUAGGUAUAAAAAUGUGUGAAAAGAAAAACAAAGAUAUUUUUAUCCAGAAUUACGGGAACUUUUAUUUUCUUGUUGCAAUUUUAGAUAGCCUUCCUUUUAACAAUGGGCUUUUAUUUCUAUUAAAAUAGAAAAAUAAAUCAGCUUGAACUAAUAAGAACUGGGUCAUUUAUGGCUGUGAUCAUUUAAAUAUUUAAAUAAAUAAUUUCCAAAAAUAGUUAUUUUUUAAUAAAACAAAGGAAUUAAUGUAAACAGUUUGGAAAGAAAAGUUCAAUAACUUUAAAAAGUUAUGUUGUUUCAAACAUGUCAAUUAUACAGCUAAAAAUUGGGGGGUGUAAGUAUGAGUAUACUAGUUUCCUAAUCUUAAAAAUCAGCAAUUACAUCUAUACUGCUUCAGCCCUGACACAGAUAGGUAGAAGAAUAUAGGUUUCAUUUUAUUUUUGCAAAGCAUAAAGGUAGUCAAAUUUACAAAGAUUUUGAGAAGCAUAGAAAAUAAUUUCAGAUGGUACAUGAUUAUGAGAUAGAAACGUGAGGUAGUAUGUCUUGAACUGGAGUGAAGAAUAGUACUUAAUGUGAAAAAUAAUAAUUUAUACAGAUUCAAAUUCAAUUAAAAAGGAAACCAUAUCACAAUGAACUGCAGAAAAUUUUAGUCUUUCAUCUAAAAUGAGAACACACAGAAUGUAGCUGAAUCCAGAUGAUGUAUUACAGUCAUUGAGUUAAUUCUCUAUGCUGAUUAAAAUAAAGACAUAAUCUCCCAUAAAUUGCUUCCUGAUAUUCCUUUAAGUUGUUUUACUCGAACGAGAUUUAAGAUGGAGAAAUAUAGCAGACAUCUAAAUGCAGGACCACCUGCAGGUUGAGUCUCAGAAGUCUGAUGAGUAGAGAUACUUCAGUCAGGUGUCUGAUGCAAAACAUCACAUUUCUAUCAUCAUUUUCAACUGGAAAGGGGCUUCUUGGAGGUAAUCUAGGACUAUAUGGUAGUCAGAUUGAAAAGUAACAUAAUACAAAUUUCAUCUGUAUAUUUGAACUAUUAAAAUUUACUUUAAAAAAUUAUUGGAUAUUUAGUCAUCUUGCCAAAAUCACUUAAAGUAUAUUAAGUUAUUUUAUGCACUCUUUGGAAACAUUUUUACUUAUGUAAUCAAAGUGGUAGAAUAAGAAACAUUAUAUAAAAAUUCAAAAGUUGAAUCCACUUUGUCUGUAUUCAUUAUAUUGACAGCUGGAUAAAAUAAAAUAAUUAAAGAACUUAUGCCUUUCAGAACAUUAACAGUUUCUAACUGCUUCAGUUAUUCAAGAUAAGUUCUGGAUAUCUAUACAGCAUAGUGACCAUAAGUAGCAAUACUAUUUUAUUGUUAAAAUUUAUUAAGAUAGUAGGUCUUAUGUUAAUUCUUUCUAACACACAAACACACACAGAUUAAAAAAAAGGGAGUGGGAAGAAACUUUUGGAGGUGAUGGAUAUUUAUAACCUUGAAGAUGGUGAUGCGUCAUGGAUGUAUACUUACUGCUAAACUUAUGAAGUUGUAUAUGCUAAAUACGUACAGCGUUUUACAUGUCAAUCAUAUGUCAGUAAAGUGGUUU